CUACGGGAGGCUCCAGUGAGGAAUAUUGCACAAUGGGGGGAACCCUGAUGCAGCAACGCCGCGUGGAGGAUGACGCAUUUCGGUGUGUAAACUCCUUUUAUAUGUCAAGAAAAUGACGGUAGCAUAUGAAUAAGCACCGGCUAACUCCGUGCCAGCAGCCGCGGUAAUACGGAGGGUGCAAGCGUUACUCGGAAUCACUGGGCGUAAAGGACGCGUAGGCGGGCUUGUAAGUCAGGUGUGAAAUCCUACAGCUUAACUGUAGAACUGCACUUGAAACUACGAGCCUAGAGUAUGGGAGGGGGAGAUGGAAUUAGUGGUGUAGGGGUAAAAUCCGUAGAUAUCACUAGGAAUACCUAAAGCGAAGGCGAUCUCCUGGAACAUAACUGACGCUAAGGCGUGAAAGCGUGGGGAGCAAACAGGAUUAGAUACCCCAGUAGUC
rnacentral:rRNA from 1 species